rnacentral:RNase_P_RNA from 1 species
CCCGCAGACCGCCUUAUCGUCGCUCAUUUAGGUGAGGGGAGGAAAGUCCGGACACCACAGAGAAGCAUAGCGGGUAACACCCGUCGGCGUUAGAAAUAACGUUAGGACAAGUGCAACAGAAAGUAUGUACAGGUAAUGCUGUAGUGAAAACAGGUAAACUCUAUGCGGUGAAAUAUCAAGUAUAUCAGCAUUUAAGGGCUUCUCGUUCGUUGCUGAAGGGUAGAUAGCUUGAACUUAUGAGUAAUUGUAAGUCUAGAUAAAUGAUAAGGUAUUGUUAGCAAUAACAAGAACAGAAUCCGGCUUAUAGGUCUGCAUUUUUU